GACGAACGCUGGCGGCGUGCCUAAUACAUGCAAGUCGAACGCAGUGGGGACGGGUGAGUAACACGUGGGUAACCUCCCAUCAGAGGGGAUAACACUUGGAAAAAGGUGCUAAACCGAUACUGAUGGAUGGACCCGCGGUGCAAUAGCUAGUUGGUGAGGUAACGGCGCACCAAGGCCACGAUGCAUAGCCGACCCGAGCGGGGUAUCUGCCACAAAGGGACGGGUACACGGCCCAGACUCCUACGGGAGGCAGCAGUAGGGAAGCUUCGGCAAUGGACCGAAGGCUGACCGAGCCACGCCGGGGGAGUGAAGAAGGUUUUCGGAUCGUAAAGCUCUGUUGUUAGAGAAGCGGUAACUAACCAGAAAGGGACGGCUAACUACGUGCCAGCAGCCGCGGUAAUAC
rnacentral:rRNA from 1 species